UUCCGCCAGCGGGAAGAGCCUCAGAAAUGCAGCGUGGGCUGCCUGCUGUCCUGGGUGCUGCUGUGAUCUGCAUUUGCCUUGGUUCUAGUAAUGCUCAGCAUCAACCUACAGAUGUUUUGUACACACGGGAAAGAGAAUCUGUGACCAUAGAUUGCAAAAUCACAGUCAGUUUUUCUUCCUAUGUAAUGCACUGGUAUCAACAGCCCUCCAGUGGAAAGAUGAUUUACAUAACUCAUCUGUAUUCUUCCAGUACAAGCUCACAGAAAGGACGAUACUCCGUGGUGUUUCAGAAACCACUUUUGAAGCUCACCAUCUCAGCCUUAACACUCAGUGAUUCCGCUGUCUAUUUCUGCACUAGCCCAGCUCAUUUUCUAGAGAUGCUAAAAAAAAAUAAACUCAUCUUUGGAAAAGGAACCAGCUUGACUGUGGAACCAAGAAUUCAGCCUGUUUCCAGGCCAUCAGUUUUUGUCAUGAAAAAUGGAACAAAUGUUGCUUGUCUGGUGAAGGAUUUCUAUCCCAAGAAUGUAAACAUAAGUCUCAGAUCAUCCAAGAAGGUAGUAGAAUUUGACCCUGCUGUCGUGAUCACUCCAAGUGGGAAGUACAGUGCUGUCAAGCUUGGUCGGUAUGAAGAUCCAAACUCAGUAACCUGUUCAGUGCAAUUCAAUAAUGAAACCGUGAGCUCCGCUGACUUUGAGGUGAAGACCACUUCAUCUGAUGUCCUAGUGCAAGAGAAACCUGAAAACAUGACACAAACUGAAAAGAGCUGCCAUGAACCAAAAGUUUACACCCCGAAGAUGAACAUGAUGUCUCUCACAGUACUGGGGCUGCGGAUGCUGUUUGUCAAGAGUGUUGCCAUUAAUUUUGUCUUAACUGCCAAGUUAUUCUUCCUUUAAGACCAACCGGCAUGAGGAAGCUACGCCCGCUGACAGCAGUCAAAAGCUUAAAAGAUGCUGUCUCGCAGGCCUCUGAUUUAUUGACAACUCAAGUCCACCUGUCACUGCCUUAUUUACAUCAGUUUCCCUCUGAAAACAACAAACCAAGCUCAUCCUCCAGUGUGACAGAAAAACAAGUACCCUGGGCCAUGGGGGUUACGCUCCUAGCUUGUUUAUGUGCUGUAGGCUUACAAAGGGAUAGAUGGACACAAAAAUGUAGCACGCAUUUUAUUUUACUCAUACAGCUCUUACACACUGAAAAAUAAUACAUUAUUUUUCACUUUCUUUCUCUCCAGAAGCAGAAAGUGAGAACUAAUGGAUCCCUGCUCCAUUCUCUAUGAGGAAAGUUGGCCCUGACAGGAGGAGAGCAGGUGUCCUUUUGCCCACACUGACAGGUUCAGCCCAACACAAAGCUAGAUCCAGCCAGAAGCCAUCCUCAUCCUCCUCUCCAGUGGCUCGUCCCACCCUCGUUCAUUCCAGCGGCCACACUAGAGAUGUCAGAGGGCGAUGCAGGGGAGAGGGACAAUGUCAGCACUUUCUGCUUUUCCUAGUACUUUAAAAAAUUAUGUAUCAUUGCCCUAACUCUCCAAACAGGCAAUGGGGUUUCUCAUUUCUCAUCUAAGCACUGUCCAUUCUAUUAGCAAAGAUCAGAGUUAAAUACAGAGGAAAGGCAUUUGUUUCUAUUAAUUACUUUAGCAUGCCUGGACUGACCCUGAGUCCCAGACUCUGCACUGUGGGCACAAAGAUGAGUAGGAGCUGGGUCCUCCUUUCCAACAGCUCACCAUGCAAGCAUUUUUAGAGGAAGGGAGAGAAAUGAAAGCUUUCCCUGUAGAAACAAUAUCUUUCCUAUCAUUUGCCUACCAGACUGUAGACAGGGAGCUAGAGAUCCUUGGACACUGACUCUUUGGCUUGGGUCUCUGAUGUCGAAGGUUGUGGCCUUCUUUCUCAGCCUUUA